GGGGAAUUUUGGACAAUGGGGGCAACCCUGAUCCAGCAAUGCCGCGUGUGCGAAGAAGGCCUUCGGGUUGUAAAGCACUUUUGGCAGGAACGAAACGGUGCCGGAUAAUACCUGGCGCCACUGACGGUACCUGCAGAAUAAGCACCGGCUAACUACGUGCCAGCAGCCGCGGUAAUACGUAGGGUGCAAGCGUUAAUCGGAAUUACUGGGCGUAAAGCGUGCGCAGGCGGUUCGGAAAGAAAGAUGUGAAAUCCCAGGGCUCAACCUUGGAACUGCAUUUUUAACUCCCGAACUAGAGUAUGUCAGAGGGGGGUGGAAUUCCACGUGUAGCAGUGAAAUGCGUAGAUAUGUGGAGGAACACCGAUGGCGAAGGCAGCCCCCUGGGAUAAUACUGACGCUCAUGCACGAAAGCGUGGGGAGCAAAC
rnacentral:rRNA from 1 species